AGAGCGCUGGGGAAGCCGGGCUGACCGCGGGGUGCGGCACUGGGGACCCUCUCUCAGAGCUGCGCUCGCGUGUCCAUGGAGAAGCACCGAUCCCGCCACCCACCUAGCACCAGCUACAGCGAGCGGGUAGUGAACACGGAGUCCUCCGCCCUAGGAUAACAGUGAUCCACAGGAGACCAGCGGUGGGGUCGUCCUCUACCGCUGACAGAGAGCCAACCCUGAGGUCGCGCGGGCUGUGGCUUUGGGCUGAGCGGACAGGCGAGCGGCAGCAACACACCCGCACGCAGCCGGCCACGCCCGGCCCGUUCUCCGGGUAAGGGACCCCUACUUACCCCAGGCAGCCCUGCAGACAGCCGGGCGCGGCUCCCGCUGCUAAGCUACUCCCGCCGCUGCCGAACUUUCCCUCCUUCCCACCAGUCGGCCGAGGGCUGGGCUCCACCUCCUGCUCCGGCAGCCACCGAGCCUCCAGGGACUGGGGGAGGGAGAGAGGGAGGGGAGGGCAGCGCCGACUGAACAGCAGCCAAGCACCGUGCCCGCCUCGGGGUGGGAGCCCCCGAGCUCGCGUAGUGGAGGCAGCGUGGGCCUCGGGGCUGGGGUCGCGCCUGGCUGCAGUCACCGGAUUCCACCAGGGCCCUUCUGCAGUGCGUCCGGUUCCUGAGCAGAGCAGGGCACUGUCACUGCAGAGACCGUGCGUGGAGAGCAGGGUCUUCUGCACCACAGAGCCUUCAAGCCUAACUGCUCACUGACAUCCGGAGAAGUUGGUGGAAGGGACACUGCUGGAGGCUGUGCCCCAAGGGAGAGGUGGCUCAGAGUCUAUCCUAGCAAUCCAGGAGGUCUGAAAGGAGGAAAUAUCCUUCCCAUUUUCAUCUUCUCUCCACAUGACAGGCAGGAGCCAUUCUCCGAAGUGACACUUCCAACCGUGUAGGUAUGGAAGAGGCCUGUGAAAGCAACUCCCUCUGGAAGUCUGUCUGGCUGAAGCUCCAGUGUAUCAGCCAUUUACUAGACUCAGCCUCUCUUCCAGUCCCGCCAUCAAUCAGUCUACAUGCAAGAGUUAGGCAGCUGAGGGUCUAUCAGGCUUCAGCAGCCACUUUUUGGAAUAGAAGUUGUCACAUGAACACAGAGAAUGGUUUUCAGUCCGAGUCCUCAAGACUAUGUCCUUCCUGACACCUCAAUGCAGCUCAGACUCCCUAGUUGCAAAUGGGGAGUUAACUGUUCUACUGUGGAGACGGGAGGUGUGCAAAGUCUACUUACAAAUAGAAGUCUGCCCAGUCCUACUCAGACCCUCCUUCCAUGACAUCACUCAGACCAGAUAAAUCAAGAGGCCCACCAAGCAGCUUCUAAGGGCAACAAUUUAUAACAAGAAACUAACAUAUCAUUGAAAUAAACUAGCAGUAUAGCCCUAGUUAACCUGAGUAAAAUGUAAUGGGUCUCACAACUUUUGAAACAGACAUUCUGGAAAUGGAUAAUUUGGAGCGGGCAACCAAGUACCACAGACACGUAAACAGCUCUGCUGCCGAUUUGGCAAUGCAUACGUAUGUACUAAAUAGUAAUUAUUGCAUCUGCUUGACUUCUGGAUCAGAUAGUGUACGGCAUAAUGCUUACUGAAGUGAAUGUCUUUUUAUUACAUAAAUUUAAAACUUUUAAUAUACAUCCUGAGAGGCUGCCUAAAUUAAAAGACUAACAAUGGAAAAUAGAACUGCAAAUAAGGACUGCAGAAAAACUGGAAAACAAAUCCGUUUUCAGCCGAUAAGAGUCUUGCUAUGUAGUCCCACUGUAAGAAGGAACCAAACUGAAGCCAUAAUGAAUAAAACUUCAUUUUGAAUAUGAGUCAAAUAAGGCUGAAGUUUCCAAGACCUCCCUGGGAGACUGACAUCCUGGUUGGCAAGUUGAGACAUGAAUGCUGGGCAAGCCACUCAGCCACAGCUGAAUAAGCCAACCAAUGAGAACAGGAUAAAUGUAACACCAAGAAAUGUCCCUAGGAAGAUCCCGCAUUCCUGAAUCCUGAUAGGUGGAAAAUGGCACAGAUGUCUGUGGCUUUCGUGACUUUUGUGCUUAAAAGUUCCGUAGUGUUCUGGCUCGGGGUCGCAGUUCAGCUCCUGAGUCUAUUUUGCAUCCUUGAUCGACAGGUAGCAGCUUGAUUACAGUAAACUUCGCUUUCUCUGCAUUGACUUGGUGUUUGAGUUGUGUUGGACCCAGGUGGACCUCAUAACACCACUGGCCUUGAACUCAUGGCAAUCUCAAGCUCCCAAAUGCUGGGAAAACAGAUGUUGCCACCUGGUGGCAACUUCUCUUACAAAAACAUAUUUUCUAUAGUUCUAUCUGGUACUAACAUAUCAUUUCAUUGUUAUCCUCAUUUCUUGUCUAGGAUAAUUCUUCUAAACUUACACUUGUUAACUUGUAUGUACGUGUGUGUGCACAGGCCACAGCACGUAUGUGGAAGUCAGGGGACAACUUGUAAAGUCAGUUCUCUUUCCCGCCAUGUGGGUUCCAUAAAGAUUACGCCUGAGCCAUCCUGCCAGCCCUAUAAUUUUGUGAUAGGAUUAGAAUUAUACCUCUUUCGGAGAAUAGAAUGUGUCCCUGGAACGUGGUGACUCUCUUACAGCUCAAAUGUAGUACAUUUGUGAUUUUAUUCUCUGAUCAAAGCAUGGGUACAUUGACCUAUUGCUCUUAACUCUUCUUGUACAUAGUAGCAGUUGUGAGGGUAGAAGCAUGGGUACAAUGUCAGCAGGAUGUGUCUCUCUCACCUUGACCACUAGAUGUCAGUAACAUGUCCCCACUUAUUAACCCUGUCAGGACAAUCAAAACUGUCCUAACCCACAAGCUGAAAAGCACUGUUCUGGGACAUUCCUGAUGCAAGCGACACCUAGACACUCCACAGUCAAAUUAUCUUUUAUACUUCAUUCCUAUCUUGCCAAAUGAAUCUAUUUUAAUGUACUAUUCAAAAGGCUUUCUUUUUUCCAUAAAAAAAAAAAACCUCUUUAUGUAUUUAAGGUUAUUUCCCAGACUGUAUUUAUCAAUAAUUAUUGACACAAGGUUAUGAAUGUAUUGACAAGUUACUAAAUGUACCAAUUCACACCACCAUUAUCUCUCAUUUGAAACACUAUCUUGACUCUUCAUUGAAACAAUAAAAUUUCUGUCCAUCUUAAAGGAUAUUGGCUUCUCUUAAGCUGUGGAUUGUGAUCUGGUAAUCCUUUGCUUUACAUCUAAUAUCCACUUAUG